ACCCUGCAGACUCCUCACCCACCAGAUGGAAACACUAGUCUGAGAGGCUAUGAAAGGAGGAAAAGUAAAAUUGAAACUGUCUUCAAUUUUUUUGUGGUACCUGAGUCUCAAAUAACU
rnacentral:snoRNA from 1 species